GAGGGGGUGAGGUUUGGGGGAAGAGGUGAGGCAGGAGAUUUGGGGAAGGGGUGGAGUGAGGGCAGGGCCUGGGGUAGAGUGGGGGUCGAGCACCCUCUGGGAACUGGGGAAGUCGACCCCUCAGCCCGUGUACCCAGCUCUGGCAGUGUAAGGAGAGCGUCUACAGAACCGUCACCCACUUCAAGCCGCACGCACUGCCGCCUUUUGCUUGUACGCUCAUUGGCACAGGGCCCAGCCCCCACGGUGAUGGGCACUCUGACUACAUAAGCAAACAGGACCGGCCAGGGCACAGGGAGAACACAGAGCCACAAGGAGGGAUUCGGAUCUCACACCCUAGUGUUCAGCGCAGUUACUCUCCAUCUACCAGCAUACGGGCCAUCAGAAUCAAGCCUACGGCCGCUAAGGCCCAACGCAGUCGCUCUGAUCGGUUAGUCUGAGCUCCUGUCUAACCCAGGCCAGAGCCAGCCACCCAGGAGUACCUGCCACAGAGGGAAUUAUUUAUAUUAGUACCCGGGAGCAUAUUAAAGCAGCAGCCAGACACCAGCUCCAGUCGAAAAAGCCUUUCUAACAGCCCCUGCGGCCACACUGCUCCUGACUCCAGCUGACCUUGCUCCGCUGAGGUCACAGCGGCCAGGUGCUCACGUGUGGCCGCAGCCGUACCAGGGUUAAGCUGGCUUCCGAUUACAAAGCAAGGGCACAAUGUCCUGGAGGGCUCUGGGAAUCUGGCAAUAGCCCUUUGGCCUUUCCCCAGGGCAACACCUGACCGUCCUCUUGUUUUAUUCCAAGCAAUUCAGUCCGUGGUUGCGCCACUGUGCGCUGGAGUCCAGCUAGGUUUCAGAGGCUGAGCAGGGGCAGGCUGGGUUGGAGGCCUCCACCCAGAUCCGCAGGAAGCAGCACUGGAGGAUUCAAUAGGUGGCGCUCUCCUUACGGGGUCAGAACAGGGCACUAGGGAGGGCUGCGUGGCAGGUGUAACACUCAAGCCCCCAUCACUAAAGAUCCCCUAGUGCUGGUUAUCUCCAAAAUCCCAGCCUGGGAAUUGCAAUGUUGCCUACCUAAUAUUCCUCCUGCAGUUACGGUACUCGGGCCCUCUCCUGAACGAUUAUAACAGCUGCUGCAGCCCUCCCCAGAGGUGGCCACAUUUGAGCACUAGUCAAACCGAGCCGUACAGGUCUGUAACAUUUACACUGCGCUCUGGGCUGCGGAGCACUGUAGGAGCAGUCAUGUCGUAGCCUGUUGUGCUUUUUAUAUUCUUUUGGUGAGGGAAAAGCAGUCCUAGUAGCCGGAACCCAUCCUCCAUCAGGAUCGUGCAUGGAGCCAUGAAAGGAGACAAAGCUGUUUACCCGAAGGGUCAAGUACAAGCAGCAGAUGUCCCAGGCAGAGAAGGCCUCUCACCGCACCAGGGAAGGGUGCCUUCACCUACCUACAAGAGGAACACCUGCCCUACAGCCCAGAAAAGCAGGCACUGAUCCCACAUGGGCAGCCCGGCCCCUCCAAUGCAAGCCGGAGGUGGGGUGGGCAUGAGAUGAGGCCUCAGCAGCAGGAAGGGCUCCCGCCGAUCAGAACCAGCCACACAGGCAUCCUGGCAGAGCUGAGAAGAGAGGACCCCUCUCACUCCAGAUCCCAUGUGACCGCACUGGGAAUCCUGGCGUUAGCUCAGGAUCAGACACAGCCUGGAUCAGACGAACGGAUAAGACAGUGCUCUGUGAGGCAGGGAUCACCUCUUUGAUGUGCCCGUACUGCACCGAGCACAGUGGACUGCUGGUCCGUGACUGGGGGUCCCAGCUGCUACCAUAAUACACCUAAUAAAUAACAUACAGCACCAUGGGAUCCUGGUCCAUGACUGCGCCUCCCAGCUGGUAUCAUAAUACACCUAAUAAAGGUCCCUUCUGGCCAGUAAUCUAUUAAACUGAUUUAGAGAAGAGAAACAGAAGGGAGGUGAGGGGGUGGGAGGCUGAUUUAUGAGGACAGCUUAAUGGAGGUGUGGGGUAAGGAAAGGAUGAGUUGGCAGUUAAGGCCCUGGACUAGGACUCUAUAGACCUGGAUUCAAUUCUCAGCUCUGACUCCCCAUGUUAGCGUGAGACCUCGUGCCUCAGUUUCCCUAUUUGUAAAAUGGGGAUAAUGCUAAAUCCCUGGGAGGAUCAAUACACAACCAUGGGCAAAGCAUUAAGCUACUUUGGGGACAGGGCUGGAUAAGAUGCGAGCCAGGCAGAACUAAGCUGUACCCUGUGGGCAGGGGAAGGGGCAGGGGGGACGACGAUAGCCUGCUGCAAGGAGGAAGAAUUGCUUGGGGAGUAACUAGGAGCGAGAGAGAGAAAUUUAAGCUGAAGCUCAGGAAUGGCUUCUUAACAAGCUCUCCCAUGAGGCAGACUCAUCCCCCAAGGCGCAGAAUCCCCAGUGCCCAAGACAUUUAAAACCAGAGUGGGGUAGAGAGGGGACAGGGAUCAAGCUGGCAGUGGAUAUAGGCAGAAAAUUGGCUGGGCUGGGGCAGGGAGGGCGACUGAGGAACUCGCCUUUGGAAUGGGGGGUUCUUUUAUUUCCCUUCUCUCCUUAUUGAAGCAGCCGGGCUGGCGAUGCUGCCUGACAACCCCGAGGAAUAACACGCUGCUCUGAACCUCCCGGGGGUGUUACUGACACUUAUCAGAGCCCUGCAGGCUGGCCAAGCCCCACUAGCAGGAGGCAGACACCAACUAACCUGUCUGAGACCCAGAACCGCCUGGGCCUUACAGCCCUGCCAAGGCUCCAGUCAGGGUUUCAGCGCAAAUGGCGCCUCUGGCUUUUGCAGUGGGAGUUUUACCCUGUCUGCAGUCUCAGCUAGAACCAACUGAAUGUCACCUGGUGCCUGACGCUCUCCAGGGCAGGGCAGUCGUACACUGGCACUGCCCCUGCUGUAGCUGGUCAGUGAGAAGGGGAUGUUAGGCUGCAGCAGAAUCCGGCCUCGUUCACCAGCUCCUCCCCUCCCUGCAAUGAGCCACACAGUGCAGACAGCAUCUGUCCUCUCAUUUUAUUAUCUUUCUAAACGGAUAAACAACAGGCACCAUUUCUGAGCUUAAAAUCCAUCCUGCUCCUUACAGAAUAAGUGAUCCCACCCACUGCAUGCCUCUGCUGGUGCACCCUGGUUUGUUUUUCGUAGGGUCUCCCAGGAGGGACGGGCUGUGCAAGCUGAUUUGUUUUCCGUAGGGUCUCCCAGGAGGGACGGGCUGUGCAGGCUGGUUUGUUUUCCGCAGGGUCUCCCAGGAGGGAUGGGCUGUGCAGGCUGGUUUGUUUUCCGUAGGGUCUCCCAGGAGGGACGGGCUGUGCAGGCUGGUUUGUUUUCCGCAGGGUCUCCCAGGAGGGACGGGCUGUGCAGGCUGGUUUGUUUUCCGCAGGGUCUCCCAGGAGGGACGGGCUCUGCAGGCUGGUUUGUUCUGGUAGGACCGCCGCAGGCA